rnacentral:piRNA from 6 species
GGGUUCGAGCCCCACGUUGGGCGC